UAUACCGCCCCGGUACAACUGGGGGGAAAGAUUUAUCGGAGAGGGAUCAGCCCGCGUAAGAUUAGAUAGUUGGUGGGGUAAUGGCCUACCAAGUCUACGAUCUUUAGCUGGUUUUAGAGGAUGAUCAGCAACACUGGGACUGAGACACGGCCCAGACUCCUACGGGAGGCAGCAGUGGGGAAUCUUGGACAAUGGGCGCAAGCCUGAUCCAGCCAUGCCGCGUGAGUGAUGAAGGCCUUAGGGUCGUAAAGCUCUUUCGCCAGAGAUGAUAAUGACAGUAUCUGGUAAAGAAGUCCCGGCUAACUCCGUG
rnacentral:rRNA from 1 species